GACGACGCUGGCGGCGUGCUUAACACAUGCAAGUCGAACGAGUGGCGAACGGGUGAGUAACGAGUAAUCAACCUGCUCACAAAGGGGGAUAACUACUGGAAACGGUAGCUAAUACCGCAUACCAUCAGAUGGGCCCAGUGGGGAUUAGCUAGUGGGUGGGGUAACGGCCAACAUAGGCGACGAUCCCUAGCUGGUCUGAGAGGAUGACCAGCCACACUGGAACUGAGAUACGGUCCAGACUCCUACGGGAGGCAGCAGUGGGGAAUAUUGCACAAUGGGCGCAAGCCUGAUGCAGCCAUGCCGCGUGUGUGAAGAAGGCCUUCGGGUUGUAAAGCACUUUCAGCGAGGAGGCGUUACCCGCAGAAGAAGCACCGGCUAACUCCGUGCCAGCAGCCGCGGUAAUAC
rnacentral:rRNA from 1 species